GAUGAACGCUGGCGGCGUGCCUAAUACAUGCAAGUCGAGCGAACAGACGAGGAGCUUGCUCCUCUGACGUUAGCGGCGGACGGGUGAGUAACAGGUGGAUAACCUACCUAUAAGACUGGGAUAACUUCGGGAAACCGGAGCUAAUACCGGAUAACAUGUUGAACCGCAUGGUUCAACAGUGAAAGACGGUCUUGCUGUCACUUAUAGAUGGAUCCGCGCCGCAUUAGCUAGUUGGUAAGGUAACGGCUUACCAAGGCAACGAUGCGUAGCCGACCUGAGAGGGUGAUCGGCCACACUGGAACUGAGACACGGUCCAGACUCCUACGGGAGGCAGCAGUAGGGAAUCUUCCGCAAAGGGCGAAAGCCUGACGGAGCAACGCCGCGUGAGUGAUGAAGGUCUUCGGAUCGUAAAACUCUGUUAUUAGGGAAGAACAAAUGUGUAAGUAACUAUGCACGUCUUGACGGUACCUAAUCAGAAAGCCACGGCUAACUACGUG
rnacentral:rRNA from 1 species